GAGGAGGUGCUUCAAUGGCGUUCUGUGCUUCAGCAGGAGACUUUGGUCCCUCAAGUUCUCAUAAAAUGGAAAGGUCGCAAUGUGGAGAAAGCUACAUGGGUUGAUGCAGUUGAUUUUUGCAAUCAGUUUCCUCAUUUCCGCCUUGAGGACAAGGCUUUGCUUGAAGGGGUGGGUAUUGAUACAAAGAAGAAUUCAGUUGAUAGGCCUGGACCUUCAAGAGUUUAUUCCAGAAGGGUAAGGAAGGUGGCAAGGCAGGAAAGCUUCCAGAGACAUUGCAUGCAAAAGGGUGUGGAAAUACAGCUGGGAAGGAGUAACGACAAUUGAUGAGCUGGUUGCUAACCAGGAGACAUAUG
rnacentral:misc_RNA from 1 species